rnacentral:rRNA from 1 species
GAUGAACGCUAGCUACAGGCUUAACACAUGCAAGUCGAGGGGCAGCAUGGACUCAGCUUUGCUGAGUUUGAUGGCGACCGGCGCACGGGUGAGUAACGCGUAUCCAACCUGCCCUUUACUCCGGGAUAGUCUCCUGAAAGGGGGUUUAAUACCGGAUGUGUUUGUUUUUCCGCAUGGGAGCGACAAAUAAAGAUUAAUUGGUAAAGGAUGGGGAUGCGUCCCAUUAGCUUGUUGGCGGGGUAACGGCCCACCAAGGCAACGAUGGGUAGGGGUUCUGAGAGGAAGGUCCCCCACAUUGGAACUGAGACACGGUCCAAACUCCUACGGGAGGCAGCAGUGAGGAAUAUUGGUCAAUGGGCGAGAGCCUGAACCAGCCAAGUAGCGUGAAGGACGACGGCCCUACGGGUUGUAAACUUCUUUUAUAAGGGAAUAAAGUUCGCCACGUGUGGUGUUUUGUAUGUACCUUAUGAAUAAGCAU